GCACCGGUGGCGGAAUGGUAGACGCGUACGUUUGAGGGGCGUAUGGCAUUAGUCGUGUGAGUUCAAGUCUCAUUCGGUGCACCA
rnacentral:tRNA from 1 species